rnacentral:rRNA from 1 species
UCUGCAACUCGACUGCAUGAAGCUGGAAUCGCUAGUAAUCGCGAAUCAGAAUGUCGCGGUGAAUACGUUCCCGGGUCUUGUACACACCGCCCGUCACACCAUGGGAGCCGGAAACGCCCAAAGACAGCGGCCUAACCGCAAGGAGGGAACUGUCUAAGGCGGGUCUGGUGACCGGGGUGAAGUCGUAACAAGGUAGC